AACCCUUGCAUUUUCUAUCUAGGUCCUUCUCUGAUUCUUCAUUGAAGAAUAACCCAAAGCUAUCAUGGAUGCUCUUUAAUACCUAGCGAGUGACCAUCAAGGUCUGGGCCUGCAGCGCAUGGUGUGAGGGGCGUCGUCGCUCGCCUCCCGCUGACCUGUGCGAUGCUCUCUGGAUCCAAUCCCUUGCCGUGAGGCUCGGAGAAGCUUGGGUACUGGCCUGAAGAAGUGGACCUGCGGAUGGGUGGGCUUUCCAUCUUCUUUACGGACUCGUGGCGGCUGAUGUUGGUCAGACUGCCGUGGCCGGUCCGC